rnacentral:siRNA from 1 species
CUGUUCGGAUCCUGGAUAACAU